AAAAGGUCCGCCUGAGCCUCGGCUCAUGCGGACGGACGGACGGACGUGCUGCUCUAACGCUGAAUGAAGGCGUCAGGCAUUGGGAAGACCGCCUCCAGUCUGCGCAUGCGCCGAAAGUGUGACGCUGCGGACAAAACCGGAGUCCGUCACUGUUAAAACUUACUUCCGGGUUUGCUGUGUGCAAAAGAACGCGCCACUAUCAAGGCCACGCGGAGAUGUACAAGUGCUGGCUCUCUCUAUCCUCAUCCCGGCACUAAGACCGUUAUAACAGCGUCCAAAGUAAUCUCCAGUCGAAUCCAAGCACCACUGAAAGACCACCUACCCCAGAUCGCUGUCUGCACUCCCCCCCCCCACCCCCAAAAGCUAGUGCCCCAGAAUGGGGGUCAGAGAGAGAGAGAGAGAGAGAGAGAGAGGGGGACAGCUGGCAGACCUCCCAGCAGCCCGGAGGAGUUGGCGUGGGGUUGGACGACUGGGCUGACCCCUGUCAGAUGGUGGUCUGGCUCCCAGUGUGUGUGACUAUAGCUGCACGCGGUUCUGCACAGAGGUGGAAGACGUCGCAGCCGCACCGCUGGCUGAAUCAGCGUGCUGUAGGUGCAGAGACGUGGGCCCGAGGACACACGACACAGACGGAUUUUGCAAAAUUGGAAAUAAAGG